GCGCUCGUAGCUCAGCUGGAUAGAGCAACGGACUUCUAAUCCGUAGGUCGCAGGUUCGAAUCCUGCCGGGCGUACCA
rnacentral:tRNA from 4 species